rnacentral:rRNA from 1 species
GACAGAGGGUGCAAACGUUGUUCGGAAUUACUGGGCGUAAAGCGCGUGUAGGCGGCUCGGAAAGUCGGAUGUGAAAGCCCUGGGCUUAACCUAGGAAGUGCAUUCGAAACUCCCGAGCUUGAGUUCUGGAGAGGAAGGCGGAAUUCUCGGUGUAGAGGUGAAAUUCGUAGAUAUCGAGAGGAACACCGGUGGCGAAGGCGGCCUUCUGGACAGUGACUGACGCUGAGACGCGAAAGCGUGGGGAGCAAACAGGG